rnacentral:tRNA from 1 species
UAUGUUGUUGACUAAUAGGCAAGUCGUAAAUUUUUGGUAUUUAUUUUAAGUGUUCGAAUCACUUCAACAUAA